rnacentral:rRNA from 1 species
UACAGAGGUGGCAAGCGUUGUUCGGAAUUACUGGGCGUAAAGGGCUUGUAGGCGGCCAACUAAGUCCGACGUGAAAUCCCAAAGCUUAACUUUGGAACUGCGUCGGAUACUGGAUGGCUUGAAUUCGGGAGAGGGAUGCAGAAUUCCAGGUGUAGCGGUGAAAUGCGUAGAUAUCUGGAGGAAUACCGGUGGCGAAGGCGGCAUCCUGGACCGACAUUGACGCUGAGGAGCGAAAGCUAGGGGAGCAAACGGG